CCUACGGGAGGCUGCAGUGAGGAAUAUUGGUCAAUGGUCGGGAGACUGAACCAGCCAAGCCGCGUGAGGGAUGAAGGUCCAGCGUAUCGUAAACCUCUUUUGUCAGGGAACAAAGGCGGGGACGUGUCCCCGGCUGAGUGUACCUGACGAACAAGCAUCGGCUAACUCCGUGCCAGCAGCCGCGGUAAUACGGAGGAUGCGAGCGUUAUCCGGAUUUAUUGGGUUUAAAGGGUGUGCAGGCGGUUUUGCAAGAUGGAUGUGAAAGCCCCGGGCUUAACCUGGGAAAGCCAUACAUGACUGGAAGACUAGAGUGCGUCAGAGGGGGGUGGAAUUCCAAGUGUAGCAGUGAAAUGCGUAGAUAUUUGGAAGAACACCGAUGGCGAAGGCAGCCCCCUGGGACGCAACUGACGCUCAUACACGAAAGCGUGGGGAGCAAACAGGAUUAGAUACCCUGGUAGUC
rnacentral:rRNA from 1 species